GUAGUCCACGCCGUAAACGAUGGAUACUAGCUGUUUGGUAGCAAUACUGAGUGGCUAAGCGAAAGUGAUAAGUAUCCCACCUGGGGAGUACGAACGCAAGUUUGAAACUCAAAGGAAUUGACGGGGGCCCGCACAAGCGGUGGAGCAUGUGGUUUAAUUCGAUGAUACGCGAGGAACCUUACCAGGGCUUAAAUGUAGGUUGACAGGCUUGGAAACAGGUUUUUCUUCGGACAACUUACAAGGUGCUGCAUGGUUGUCGUCAGCUCGUGCCGUGAGGUGUCAGGUUAAGUCCUAUAACGAGCGCAACCCCUGUUGUUAGUUGCCAGCGAGUAAUGUCGGGAACUCUAACAAGACUGCCGGUGCAAACCGUGA
rnacentral:rRNA from 1 species